rnacentral:rRNA from 1 species
GGGCCCGCACAAGCGGUGGAGCAUGUGGUUUAAUUCGAAGCAACGCGAAGAACCUUACCAGUCCUUGACAUGGGUAGUUUGGAUUUUGGAGACAAUCUCCUUCAGUUCGGCUGGCUACCACACAGGUGCUGCACGGCUGUCGUCAGCUCGUGUCGUGAGAUGUUGGUUAAGUCCCGCAACGAGCGCAACCCUCAUCUUUAGUUGCCAUCAGUUCGGCUGGGCACUCUAGAGAAACUGCCUGCGAUGAGCAGGAGGAAGGCGGGGACGACGUCAAGUCAUCAUGGCCCUUAUGGACUGGGCUACACACGUGCUACAAUGGCGGUGACAAUGGGCAGCGACAGAGCGAUCUGAAGCAAA